AAUCCAUAGGUUAAUGAGGCGAACCGGGGGAACUGAAACAUCUAAGUACCCCGAGGAAAAGAAAUCAACCGAGAUUCCCCCAGUAGCGGCGAGCGAACGGGGAGGAGCCCAGAGCCUGAAUCAGCAUGUGUGUUAGUGGAAGCGUCUGGAAAGGCGCGCGAUACAGGGUGACAGCCCCGUACACAAAAGCGCAUGUGCUGUGAGCUCGAUGAGUAGGGCGGGACACGUGGUAUCCUGUCUGAAUAUGGGGGGACCAUCCUCCAAGGCUAAAUACUCCUGACUGACCGAUAGUGAACCAGUACCGUGAGGGAAAGGCGAAAAGAACCCCGGCGAGGGGAGUGAAAAAGAACCUGAAACCGUGUACGUACAAGCAGUGGGAGCACAGGUUUACCUGUGUGACUGCGUACCUUUUGUAUAAUGGGUCAGCGACUUAUAUUCUGUAGCAAGGUUAACCGUAUAGGGGAGCCGGAGGGAAACCGAGUCUUAACCGGGCGUUAAGUUGCAGGGUAUAGACCCGAAACCCGGUGAUCUAGCCAUGG
rnacentral:rRNA from 1 species